GAUUCUAGAAAAAGACAGAACUCCAGUGACAAAAGCAGGUCAGUGGUUGCCAGGAGAGGGAUGUGGCAGGGACUUUGUGGGGAUGGAAGAGUUCUAUUCUGGAGGGGGCAGUUAUGGAGAGCGCUUACUUUCGUGUGUGUGUUUGUGUGUGUGUGUGUGUGUGAAAUGGUAGGAAUUACAGACAAGUUUUGUUUUCUUGAAUGCUUUUCAGCAAAUAAUUUCUGGUGUGUGUAUGUAAAUGAAGUGGUAGCAAUUACUGAGAGGAACAUGUUCUUGUAAACCGAAUGAACUAAAGAAACGCAGCACACAGACCCCCAGAUCCCUAUCUGCCCCAGGACCUCACAGACUCUGGGGGCUCUGGGCUGUGACACCACCUCCCACACUGUCGGCUGGGCCCUGUCGCCAUAGUGACCAGCGCCAGGACGCAUGGGCCUAAGCUCAGAGCUCACCUGUCCUGUGACAGGCUGAAUGGUGUGACCGUGUCACCUGACCUGCAAGUAAGCAUCACCAUUCACUGUGAUGGCCGAGAGAACGCUGUGAGUCCGGACAGCGGGGGCGGGGGGGUUGGUGCGCAGAGCAAGAGCCGAGGGUCAAAUGCGCCCACCAGGCUCAUGGAAGGGCCUGUGAGGAAUGUGGGGAGACCCCCGCUGCGUAGCGAAGCUAAGGAGACCCUGCUUGGGAAGGGCAGCACCCAGACGCUCACUCGGGCUGUGACUUCACAAGAAAGCUGAGUAAGCGUUCCCCAAGCACCCGCUGAACCAGCGGUGAGACGACCAAGGCAGAGCGGCCAGAGCCCAUGAUGCUCAGCGAAGACUCCGGAGCUUAGGGACCUAAGUCACUUCACAACCAAACCACUCAAAACAGGCUCAUGAAGCCGGACAGCAAGAGGAGGGAACCUGCCGGCCAGCAGUCUGAAGCCACAGGUCAUCCGACCUAUGAAAGGCACAGUUCAAGUGCGCUGAGAAGAUGAAGGAAGGGACACGUGAAUUUGAACAGCUUUUGACAGACAAAACACAAAGGCUGAGACCAGGUGAUCCCUGCUCGCCCCGCCCUGCGGUCUCGCCAACUCGGCCCUGCUCCACAGGCACCGCCGCUGUCCGUGUCUCCGGGCUACAUGUGAGCCUCGGAAGGUUCCAGCCGCCCCGGGGUGCUGGGCGUUGCGGCUGACCGCCCACGGACACUUGUCUGCUCUGGAAAGGACGAGUGAUUCAGCAGGGCUCUGCCAGGACACCCAGGAGGAGCCCACAGACCCUUCCC